rnacentral:lncRNA from 1 species
AUGGAAAACGAAAUGCAAUGGUCUAUGCAGAAAAAUAUUAGCAACUAUGUGAAUAUUCUGGACCGAAUGACAGAAAAGUAUAUCAAAUUGAGCAAACGGAUUGGUGCAAAGGUGGUGGACUUCAAACAUGAAACAAAUGGAGACAUUGCACGGUCCAUAACAGCGACAGAGUUGGAGAUUUCCAGGAUAGAAGCAGAGAGGCCAACAAGUUGGAGGGAAUAUUCCUUCACAGAUGGCAACACGACAAAUGACUCCCAGAUUGAUUACCAGGUGAAGCAGUCCAAUGAGAGCGUUGAAAGUAAUGACUCUAUAAUUGAUGGGGUGUCUGAGAUGGACCAAACCCAGGCUUCUGGCAUUGGCCUGUUGGAUGAACCUCAGGGGAACCUGAUGGAUGUGUUGGUGCAGCCUGAAGACCAGAAUGAAGAGCUGGAACAAACUCUGAGUAGUCCUCGUAGCACUCUGAUGGAGCUGUUCCCCCAAAUGAUCACUCAGAUGGGGAAGACCUCUCCCCGGCAGAGGUACACAAAGAUGAGACCAAUUGGCAGCAAGGCCGGGACCGGCAAGCCCUCACCCAGGGGGGAUUGCCACGACCUCUGCCAAUCUGGUGAUGAACACAACCUGAAAGCAGCAGUUAAAAGCUGCGUGGCCAUGAUCCAUUCCCCUGUGCAAAGACAUUCCAACCUGACUCAGCCGCUGCAGGGUGUGGGAGCAUCUUCUGAGAGUGAGGCAGAACCGGGCGAGGAGAGAUGGCCAGUGGACGGAAUUUUCCUUGUUGAUGCAAAGCAAGGAGUCAAUGAACCAUACAUUCACUGUGUCCAAGGGUUCUCAUCCCUGUUCGCCUCUCUCUGGCAAACCUCAGGGACAAAGCCAUUCCACUGCAGUGCAAUCCCCAGCUCAGACCCUGAGGUUUAACAGAAGCAAUGGCCCUUAUGUGAUGGAGAGCUCAACUGUUCCCAAGACUCUGCAGAGCUUGUUAAAUACAAGGGGGAAGAACCAUAAUGGCUAUGGUGGAUCUCCCAAGGCUUUGGCAAGACAGAACCCUGUAUCAUCUUCUAUACAUGAGCAGCACUCCCGGUCACCAAAGAGAAGGCUCUACCAUCAGGAUUGUCACAGUCCCUCCCGGAUUAGAUCGGACUCCCUACAGUCGUCCCUCCGGCCAGGUGGAAUGUAUUCCCCUGCCAAAAUAGAAGAGGCGUUCAGAAAUCUUUACCACAAAGUUGUCUGUCUGGCCAAAGCUCCUCUCUCAAAAUGCUCUCCCUGUCGUUGCUCUGCUCGAAGAUUAGAGGCCAACAUUGGGAGCUCUUCUUCCCCUGCCUCUGCACCGUCACCUCUGGCCCUUUCCCCCCACCGCUCCAACCUGCGGAAGCGUGCCAGGGAGCUCGACUAGGACAGGUCUCCCACUUUCAAACACCCCUGGGGAUGGAACUCGUCCCCUGGCGCCAUUUCAAAGAGAGAAGACUGCAUCUGUAACAGUGCAGUCCUGAGUUGGUGUUCUACAUUAUUGCGUUGGAUUUUACG